rnacentral:tRNA from 1 species
AAAAUCUUAAGUUAAAAAAACUAUUAAUUUUCAAAAUUAAAAUUAGGUAGCCUAGAUUUUG